GCCAGUGUGGUGUAAUGGUAUGAACACUGGACUACUACUAUGGAAUCCAGGGUUCAAAUCCCCACUCAGCCA